UGGUGGAGUGAUUUGUCUGGUUAAUUCCGUUAACGAACGAGACCUCGACCUACUAAAUAGUUUGGCGAACGUUUUCGUUCGCGCCGACUUCUUAGAGGGACUAUCGGUUCUUAACCGAAGGAAGUUCGAGGCAAUAACA
rnacentral:rRNA from 1 species